rnacentral:rRNA from 1 species
UACGGCGAGUGACCGGGAUGAGCUCAAAUUUAAAAUCUGGCGUCUUUCAGGCGUCCGAGUUGUAAUCUAUAGAGGCGUUUUCCGCGCCGGACCGCGUCCAAGUCUCUUGGAAUAGAGUAUCAAAGAGGGUGACAAUCCCGUACUUGACGCGACAACCGGUGCUCUGUGAUACGUUCUCAAUGAGUCGAGUUGUUUGGGAAUGCAGCUCUAAAUGGGUGGUAAAUUCCAUCUAAGGCUAAAUAUUGGCGAGAGACCGAUAGCGAACAAGUACCGUGAGGGAAAGAUGAAAAGCACUUUGGAAAGAGAGUUAAACAGCACGUGAAAUUGUUAAAAGGGAAACGAUUGAAGUCAGUCGUGUGAAAGGUAUUCAGCCGUCUCUGGCGGUGUAUUUGCCUUUCACGGGUCAACAUCAGUUUGAUCCGGUAGAAAAAGGCAGGAGGAAGGUGGCACCCUCGGGUGUGUUAUAGCCUCUUGUCAUAUGUGCCGGACCAGACUGAGGAACGCAGCUUGCCGCAAGGCCGGGGUUCGCCCACGUACAAGCUUAGGAUGUUGACAUAAUGGCUUUAAACGACCCGUCUU